AUAUCUUUAUCGGCUUUUGGCUAAGAUCAAGUGCAGUAAAUGUUCUUAUCAGUUUAAUAUCUGAAAUAUGGAUUAUCGACCUAUCGUGAUAUCUGAUACAUGGGUUAAUCAUGGUAGCUUGCUCUUUUGCGUUCCACAACUAUACGGGCUUUAGUGUACGCCGGCUUAGGCUUGUCUCAC
rnacentral:snRNA from 1 species